rnacentral:rRNA from 1 species
UGCAGUCGAGGGGUAGAAGGAGCUUGCUCCUUUGAGACCGGCGCACGGGUGCGUAACGCGUAUGCAAUCUACCUUGUACAGAGGGAUAGCCCAGAGAAAUUUGGAUUAAUACCUCAUAGUAUCUUCGGAAGGCAUCUUCUGAUUAUUAAAGUUCCAACGGUACAAGAUGAGCAUGCGUCCCAUUAGUUAGUUGGUAAGGUAACGGCUUACCAAGACAAUGAUGGGUAGGGGUCCUGAGAGGGAGAUCCCCCACACUGGUACUGGGACACGGACCAGACUCCUACGGGAGGCAGCAGUGAGGAAUAUUGGGCAAUGGAGGCAACUCUGACCCAGCCAUGCCGCGUGCAGGAAGACGGUCCUAUGGAUUGUAAACUGCUUUUAUACAGGAAGAAACCCUCCCACGUGUGGGAGCUUGACGGUACUGUAGGAAUAAGGAUCGGCUAACUCCGUGCCAGCAGCCGCGGUAAUACGGAGGAUCCAAGCGUUAUCCGGAAUCAUUGGGUUUAAAGGGUCCGUAGGCGGCCUUAUAAGUCAGUGGUGAAAUCUUCUAGCUCAACUAGGAAACUGCCAUUGAUACUGUAGGGCUUGAAUUAUUGUGAAGUAACUAGAAUAUGUAGUGUAGCGGUGAAAUGCUUAGAUAUUACAUGGAAUACCAAUUGCGAAGGCAGGUUACUAACAAUUGAUUGACGCUGAUGGACGAAAGCGUGGGGAGCGAACAGGAUUAGAUACCCUGGUAGUCCACGCCGUAAACGAUGGAUACUAGCUGUUCGGACGCAAGUUUGAGUGGCUAAGCGAAAGUGAUAAGUAUCCCACCUGGGGAGUACGCACGCAAGUGUGAAACUCAAAGGAAUUGACGGGGGCCCGCACAAGCGGUGGAGCAUGUGGUUUAAUUCGAUGAUACGCGAGGAACCUUACCAGGGCUUAAAUGGGAGACGACAGCUUAGGAAACUAGGCCUUCUUCGGACGUCUUUCAAGGUGCUGCAUGGUUGUCGUCAGCUCGUGCCGUGAGGUGUCAGGUUAAGUCCUAUAACGAGCGCAAC